ACUGGCCCGUGACGCAGGCGCGGUUGGAAAGAAGCUGAGGACUGGAUGUGCGGAAACCAGGUCAGAGGGGCAGGCAACAGAGUGGGCGGGAAGGCGGCCGGGAGCGCUAUACGGGUCUAGGGAAUCAGUAGGAAGCCGGAGGCGCGGCUGGCGGCGACAGCGUGGCCGGCAGAGCAGGGUCAGCCCAGGUCGCCCGGGGAGUGCGCAGGGACGCGGGCAAAAAGCCCGGGACGCGCGCCGCCGGGGCCUGCGGGGCCUGCCCGAGGCCGAGGCCCCGGUUGGGGGUGCGGGCCGGAGCUCCCGCUCUGCGCCGGGGGCAGGCGUCUGCUGGCAAUACCUUCCCAGGAGAGCUCUCCUCCCGGCUCCCGCUUCAGGAACUUGUACCAGAACGUGUCCACGCGGCCCGGCUCCGCCCCGUCCUGCGCCGCCUCCUCGGCCGCCAGCUCCACCUCCCCGAGCCACAGGCCCGGCUCCUGCAGGGCCAGGGCCCCGUCGCCCGCCGCGGUGCCGGCCGGCCUCAGGCGGACGGCACCGCGCGGCUCCCAACGCCCCAGCUCGGGCCGCGACCCCACCACCAGCAGCUCCGGCCGGGCGCCGGCCACGGCGGGUGGCACCACCACCCCAAAGCGGAAGCGCAUGGCGGGCGGCGGCGGCGCGAAUACCCGGGCCCGGAGUCCCCGCGGCCGGCAGGCGCGGCCCGAGCACUAGGCGGCCGCAGCGAUUGGGCGGUGGUGUGGGAGCCCCGGGCACCGGGGAGAACACGUGCUGUUCUGCGCCUUCUUUGGGAUGCAUCACGCGGCUCCCGAGCCCAGACUUCGUCCAGGCCGGCGGGAAGGGGUCAGCGGAGCCGCUAGCUGCCUCUUUGUGCCCCGCAACCCCGCGGGCGGUUGAUUUCCACCUGUGGGCGCUGGGGACACGCGACCGGAAGAAAUGGAAGAGAAAACGGGGUUCGGGGAGGGAGGAAAACUUCUAAGCCAGGCGAUCGUCCAGUUCUCUCUCCAAGAGACUGGAAAUUAACUUUAUGAGGAUCAUAAGGAAGGGAAUGACCUCUAGACAGCCGCCUUCUAAUUGUGAAACGGGGGAAGAUCUUGGACCUGGUCUCUGGAGCGCUCCCUAUCUUAACCAAGUCACUUACUCUAGCAGGUCUCAGGUUCUUUGUCUGUAAAAUGAGGGUGUAAAAUAAUGAUCUUUCUAGACCCUACGAGCUCUGAAGGAUCUCUGAUUGGUGGAGAUCACCCAAGACCCGGAGCUGAUGCAAAACAUUACCUACCAUUCCCUUGUCUGAAAAGCCACAUCAACUUUCUUUUUUCAAAAACUAUAUUUUUAGUAUGUGUAAAGUAAGUUUGGAGUAAAUACUUUCAAGUCCUUUUCAAGGUCAAAACAAAAACUAAUUCUGUGACUACAAAUGUAUGCUUUUUUUUUUUUUUUUGAGACAGAGUCUCGCUCUGUCCAAAUGUAUGCAUUUUUAAUGGAGUAAAUUAAAAAAAAAAACCUUUGUUUAAAAUUUACUUUCAGCAAAAGUCAGCAUUAUUUUUUCAACUUAAAACCUUUUUGGGUUUUAAGUUGAAACAGGUUUUUUAGCUGUCUGGCCCAAAUCCAAAAUACGUAUAUCUUGGUGGGGAACUUCAAUUUGUCUCUGCCAUAAGACAAACGAAUGUCCUGAUACUUUUUGAUUCUUUAACAAAAUUAUCCUUGUAUUCUUAGGUUUAUAUAUUCACUAACAUUUAACAUAACACAAAUCUGUUACGUGAAUUAAAGACACACAAAGGCAUUUUUACCAGUGUUUGGAAGUUUGUGAAUAGUAAAGGGGAACAGGCCAAAAUUUCAUGCGUUGAGGAUAUAAGUAAAACAGAAAGUGCAAAAAUGUAAACUACACAAACUCAAUCUCUUGUGGAACAAUUAGAAAACUAAUAAUACAUUUUACUCUUGAAUGUUGAUAUUCCACUCGAAGUUUGGUUGGUUGCUAAGCUUAAGGAUAAACACUAUGAAAAAUGUGAAGACAGAAGGGCUGGCCAAACACAGCUGAUUCGGCAGCAAAUCACACAUUAAAUCACAGUGGCAUGUGAGUCGGUUUAUUCAAAUUGCUGUUAAAAGAUAUUCUUAGAGUAAGUUUAGGAAAAUAAGAGUCAUUUGGCGAUGCAGAGAGGAUUUUGUCUACAGUGGAAUCCAGACUCCGGUGAAAGUUCUCAUUCCUUCAGGACCUGGGAGCUAACAGCUCCGGACUUUCUUGUGCUCCACUGUGCUGCCUAUGUUGUGUGCUUCCCAAAUGGCAUUAUUCCCACCAGCUCUUCCAGAGUGAGUUCUGCCCAUUCUGUAGAAGAAACAGUAGCGGAAAAAUUAAACAAUAUCUUUGCUCAACGGACAUUGUUUCCUUUACUCUUCUUUCAUCAUAAAGAGGUUGAAAUAAUUUUAACCAUUGGAAGAAGUAACCCUCUUAAGCCCCUAAACAAAAUUUGUAAUAGCUUAUUUUAUGGCAAGGAUUUAAAUAAGGUAUAAAUUGGAUAGCUGCACUGUGUAGUAAGUAAAAUGCAACUGGAAAGGAGAACAAGACCAAAAUAGGGCUUAAGGGACAUAUAUCAAGGCCUUGAUCAUAUUUUGACGGUCAGUCAUUUGGAUGUAUAAGUAUUAACCAUGAUAAUAUCCAUUGAGCCUAUAUUAUGGGCCAGGCACAUGGUUUUCGUACUCAUAUUAUCUUAUUUAAGUCUCUCACCAAUCCUAUAAGGUAACUACAAUUGUUACCCCCAUUUUUAGAUGUGAGGAUACUUCAGCACAAAAGGGUCCAAUGAACAGCCCACAGCAAGGAAGGGGCAGAGCCAGGGGCUAAAAGGGGUGCAUUCAGCUUAUAGAUAUAGAUACAGAUAUAAAUUCUGAUAAGGAAAAUCUGUUUCAGAAUGCAUAUAAAUUCUAGCAUAUUUAAAU
rnacentral:lncRNA from 10 species